UGAACGCUGGCGGAAUGCUUUACACAUGCAAGUCGAGCGGUAGUCCUUCGGGAUGAGAGCGGCGAACGGGUGAGUAAUGCAUCGGAAUGUGUCCUGUAGUGGGGAACAACCUAGCGAAAGUUAGGCUAAUACCGCAUACGCCCUGAGGGGGAAAGCGGGGGACCUGUGAGGGCCUCGCGCUAUUGGAGCAGCCGAUGUCAGAUUAGCUAGUUGGUGGGGUAAAGGCUCACCAAGGCGACGAUCUGUAGCGGGUCUGAGAGGAUGAUCCGCCACACUGGGACUGAGACACGGCCCAGACUCCUACGGGAGGCAGCAGUGGGGAAUUUUGGACAAUGGGCGCAAGCCUGAUCCAGCCAUUCCGCGUGAGUGAAGAAGGCCUUCGGGUUGUAAAGCUCUUUCGGCAGGGAAGAAAUCGCACAGGAUAAUACCCCGUGCGGAUGACGGUACCUGAAGAAGAAGCACCGGCUAACUACGUGCCAGCAGCCGCGGUAAUACGUAGGGUGCGAGCGUUAAUCGGAAUUACUGGGCGUAAAGCGUGCGCAGGCGGUUUUGUAAGACAGCUGUGAAAUCCCCGGGCUCAACCUGGGAACUGCGCUUAUGACUGGCAAGCUAGAGUACGGCAGGGGGGGGUGGAAUUCCACGUGUAGCAGUGAAAUGCGUAGAGAUGUGGAGGAACACCAAUGGCGAAGGCAGCCCCCUGGGUCGAUACUGACGCUCAUGCACGAAAGCGUGGGUAGCAAACAGGAUUAGAUACCCUGGUAGUCCACGCCCUAAACGAUGUCAACUAGGUGUUGGGUGGGUAAAACCAUUUAGUACCGGAGCUAACGCGUGAAGUUGACCGCCUGGGGAGUACGGCCGCAAGGUUAAAACUCAAAGGAAUUGACGGGGACCCGCACAAGCGGUGGAUGAUGUGGAUUAAUUCGAUGCAACGCGAAAAACCUUACCUACCCUUGACAUGUCCAGAGGCCCUGAGAGAUUGGGGUGUGCCCGAAAGGGAACUGGAACACAGGUGCUGCAUGGCUGUCGUCAGCUCGUGUCGUGAGAUGUUGGGUUAAGUCCCGCAACGAGCGCAACCCUUGUCGUUAAUUGCCAUCAUUUAGUUGGGCACUUUAACGAGACUGCCGGUGACAAACCGGAGGAAGGUGGGGAUGACGUCAAGUCCUCAUGGCCCUUAUGGGUAGGGCUUCACACGUCAUACAAUGGCUGGUACAAAGGGUUGCCAACCCGCGAGGGGGAGCUAAUCCCAUAAAGCUAGUCGUAGUCCGGAUCGUAGUCUGCAACUCGACUACGUGAAGUCGGAAUCGCUAGUAAUCGUGGAUCAGAAUGUCACGGUGAAUACGUUCCCGGGUCUUGUACACACCGCCCGUCACACCACGGGAGCGGGUUCUGCCAGAAGUAGUUAGCCUAACCGCAAGGAGGGCGAUUACCACGGCAGGGUUCGUGACUGGGGUGA
rnacentral:rRNA from 1 species